rnacentral:rRNA from 1 species
UACGUAGGGUGCAAGCGUUGUCCGGAAUUAUUGGGCGUAAAGAGCUCGUAGGCGGUCUGUUGCGUCGGCUGUGAAAACCCGGGGCUCAACUCCGGGCCUGCAGCCGAUACGGGCAGACUAGAGUUCGGCAGGGGAGACUGGAAUUCCUGGUGUAGCGGUGAAAUGCGCAGAUAUCAGGAGGAACACCGGUGGCGAAGGCGGGACUCUGGGCCGAUACUGACGCUGAGGAGCGAAAGCGUGGGGAGCGAACAGG